GACGUAGGGCGCGAGCGUUGUCCGGAUUUAUUGGGCGUAAAGAGCUCGUAGGCGGCUUGUCGCGUCGACUGUGAAAACCCGCGGCUCAACCGUGUGGUCUGCAGUCGAUACGGGCAGGCUAGAGUUCGGUAGGGGAGACUGGAAUUCCUGGUGUAGCGGUGAAAUGCGCAGAUAUCGGGAAGAACACCCGUGGCGAAGGCGGUUCUCUGGGACGGUACUGACGCUGAGACGCGAAAGCGUGGGGAGCGAACAGG
rnacentral:rRNA from 1 species